rnacentral:rRNA from 1 species
GGAGGCAGCAGUAGGGAAUUUUCGGCAAUGGGGGAAACCCUGACCGAGCAACGCCGCGUGAAGGAAGAAGGUUUUCGGAUUGUAAACUUCUGUUAUAAAGGAAGAACGGCGGCUACAGGAAAUGGUAGCCGAGUGACGGUACUUUAUUAGAAAGCCACGGCUAACUACGUGCCAGCAGCCGCGGUAAUACGUAGGUGGCAAGCGUUAUCCGGAAUUAUUGGGCGUAAAGAGGGAGCAGGCGGCAGCAAGGGUCUGUGGUGAAAGCCUGAAGCUUAACUUCAGUAAGCCAUAGAAACCAGGCAGCUAGAGUGCAGGAGAGGAUCGUGGAAUUCCAUGUGUAGCGGUGAAAUGCGUAGAUAUAUGGAGGAACACCAGUGGCGAAGGCGACGAUCUGGCCUGCAACUGACGCUCAGUCCCGAAAGCGUGGGGAGCAAAUAGGAUUAGAUACCCUAGUAGUCCACGCCGUAAACGAUGAGUACUAAGUGUUGGAUGUCA